UAAAGCACCCUACCUAGCCUGUCCUUUCAGCAUGCUCUGACCAGAAGUUCCCAGUUCCUAUGACAGCGCUAGAAGGGGUUGGCACUUCUCCGCCAUGUCGGUCCUCCAUUCCUCUGGCAGUACAGAGUGUGCACCACGUGCUGAGAGCUGCCCUCUGGGGGGCCACGAUGCUCCAACUAACUGCCUGGCUUGCAGCAGAAGCUAGGUUGUGGUCUGCAGUGUGGCUAACCUUCCCCUUCUCAAAGUGCUUGACUGCGUGCUGGGAACUUUGUGCUCUGGAAUGCUCUGAAGUUCUGACUAGGACCCGGCCCCUCCUAUCUAGUGAAUGAGUUACAAGACGUAUAUGGCUGUGACGCUUUGGGUAGUGCCUGUAACCAGAAAUCCACUAAAAGCCUUUCGUUUGUUUUUGGUUGAGUCGUUAACUGCCUGCCACUGAGAACCAUACUUGAGCUUAGUAAGUCUGUGUAAACUGUAAAGACCCUUG
rnacentral:lncRNA from 1 species